rnacentral:rRNA from 1 species
CGCUAGCUACAGGCUUAACACAUGCAAGUCGAGGGGCGGCAUGGUCUUAGCUUGCUAAGGCCGAUGGCGACCGGCGCACGGGUGAGUAACACGUAUCCAACCUGCCGUCUACUCUUGGACAGCCUUCUGAAAGGAAGAUUAAUACAAGAUGGCAUCAUGAGUCCGCAUGUUCACAUGAUUAAAGGUAUUCCGGUAGACGAUGGGGAUGCGUUCCAUUAGAUAGUAGGCGGGGUAACGGCCCACCUAGUCUUCGAUGGAUAGGGGUUCUGAGAGGAAGGUCCCCCACAUUGGAACUGAGACACGGUCCAAACUCCUACGGGAGGCAGCAGUGAGGAAUAUUGGUCAAUGGGCGAGAGCCUGAACCAGCCAAGUAGCGUGAAGGAUGACUGCCCUAUGGGUUGUAAACUUCUUUUAUAAAGGAAUAAAGUCGGGUAUGGAUACCCGUUUGCAUGUACUUUAUGAAUAAGGAUCGGCUAACUCCGUGCCAGCAGCCGCGGUAAUACGGAGGAUCCGAGCGUUAUCCGGAUUUAUUGGGUUUAAAGGGAGCGUAGAUGGAUGUUUAAGUCAGUUGUGAAAGUUUGCGGCUCAACCGUAAAAUUGCAGUUGAUACUGGAUAUCUUGAGUGCAGUUGAGGCAGGCGGAAUUCGUGGUGUAGCGGUGAAAUGCUUAGAUAUCACGAAGAACUCCGAUUGCGAAGGCAGCCUGCUAAGCUGCAACUGACAUUGAGGCUCGAAAGUGUGGGUAUCAAACAGGAUUAGAUACCCUGGUAGUCCACACGGUAAACGAUGAAUACUCGCUGUUUGCGAUAUACUGCAAGCGGCCAAGCGAAAGCGUUAAGUAUUCCACCUGGGGAGUACGCCGGCAACGGUGAAACUCAAGGGAAUUGACGGGGGCCCGCACAAGCGGAGGAACAUGUGGUUUAAUUCGAUGAUACGCGAGGAACCUUACCCGGGCUUAAAUUGCAGAUGAAUUACGGUGAAAGCCGUAAGCCGCAAGGCAUCUGUGAAGGUGCUGCAUGGUUGUCGUCAGCUCGUGCCGUGAGGUGUCGGCUUAAGUGCCAUAACGAGCGCAACCCUUGUUGUCAGUUACUAACAGGUUCCGCUGAGGACUCUGACAAGACUGCCAUCGUAAGAUGUGAGGAAGGUGGGGAUGACGUCAAAUCAGCACGGCCCUUACGUCCGGGGCUACACACGUGUUACAAUGGGGGGUACAGAGGGCCGCUACCACGCGAGUGGAUGCCAAUCCCCAAAACCUCUCUCAGUUCGGACUGGAGUCUGCAACCCGACUCCACGAAGCUGGAUUCGCUAGUAAUCGCGCAUCAGCCACGGCGCGGUGAAUACGUUCCCGGGCCUUGUACACACCGCCCGUCAAGCCAUGGGAGCCGGGGGUACCUGAAGUGCGUAACCGCGAGGAGCGCCCUAGGGUAAAACUGGUGA